rnacentral:rRNA from 1 species
UACGGAGGGUGCAAGCGUUAUCCGGAAUCAUUGGGUUUAAAGGGUCCGCAGGCGGUUCUAUAAGUCAGUGGUGAAAUCUCUCGGCUCAACCGAGAAACUGCCAUUGAUACUGUAGGACUUGAAUUCGGUCGAAGUGGGCGGAAUAUGACAUGUAGCGGUGAAAUGCUUAGAUAUGUCAUAGAACACCGAUAGCGAAGGCAGCUCACUAGGCCUGGAUUGACGCUCAGGGACGAAAGCGUGGGGAGCAAACAGG